CUGAAAGGGAAACCACAAUAGUGACCUGGCUGGAGGACUGAGUCAUGAAGAGGACAGCUGUGGCUUCUGAAAGCUAAAGAUGAACUGCAGAGGAGAAAAUGGGGUAUAAUUGCUGGAAGGGGUGUCAGCCUGAUUGAGCUAAUCUCCAAAACUGCUGGGGGCAGCACCAUCUAGUGUCUGCAGGUGCUUUCUGUGACACACAUCAAAUUUUAUGGGCCUUAUCCUGCUGUCAUUCACAUGACAUAAUUCAUUUUUGCCACCCAAUGUAUGUGACUGAGAAGGUUUGGCAGUCUAGAGAAAUAAAUUCAACAUGGAAGAAAAGGGAGUGAAAUCUUGGUGCUGCUGGGAAUGUUACAUAAUGCAUUGGCUGGAUUAAUUUUAACCUUCAUUCUUUGCAUUAUGGACCUAAUCAAGUCCUCUUUGGGAUGGAAGAAGUUUGCUUUGGUUUCUCAAUUACAAAAGGACAGCAGCUGGUGAUGGGGUGCUGUGCAGAGACAGACAGGGAGAGAGAGAGAGAGAGGAGGGGUAUCUUGGGGGUGUCUGCCCCUCUUUAUAGUUCUGUCCACUGCUUUGAGAAGCAUUUCCAGCUGGGAGCAAGGCAACAGGCUGCCUGGGCCUGUUAUGCCUUGAUGUUACAGUUGUAGAUUGCAGUGGUGCAAAGAUGGGUAGCAGAAUGCUUCUCAAAGCUCCUGGGAAUGGUGAAUAU